UACGUAGGGUGCAAGCGUUGUCCGGAAUUAUUGGGCGUAAAGAGCUCGUAGGCGGUCUGUUGCGUCGGCUGUGAAAACCUAAGGCUCAACCUUGGGCUUGCAGUGGGUACGGGCAGACUAGAGUGCGGUAGGGGUGACUGGAAUUCCUGGUGUAGCGGUGGAAUGCGCAGAUAUCAGGAGGAACACCGAUGGCGAAGGCAGGUCACUGGGCCGCAACUGACGCUGAGGAGCGAAAGCCAGGGGAGCAAACGGG
rnacentral:rRNA from 1 species